GUAGGGCGCAAGCGUUAUCCGGAAUUAUUGGGCGUAAAGAGCUCGUAGGCGGUUUGUCGCGUCUGCCGUGAAAGUCCGGGGCUCGACUCCGGAUCUGCGGUGGGUACGGGCAGACUAGAGUGAUGUGGGGGAGACUGGAAUUCCUGGUGUAGCGGUGAAAUGCGCAGAUAUCAGGAGGAACACCGAUGGCGAAGGCAGGUCUCUGGGCAUUAACUGACGCUGAGGAGCGAAAGCAUGGGGAGCGAACAGGAUUAGAUACCCUGGUAGUCCAUGCCGUAAACGUUGGGCACUAGGUGUGGGGGACAUUCCACGUUUUCCGCGCCGUAGCUAACGCAUUAAGUGCCCCGCCUGGGGAGUACGGCCGCAAGGCUA
rnacentral:rRNA from 1 species